UACGUAGGGUGCGAGCGUUGUCCGGAAUUAUUGGGCGUAAAGAGCUUGUAGGCGGUUUGUCGCGUCUGCUGUGAAAAUCCGGGGCUCAACCCCGGACUUGCAGUGGGUACGGGCAGACUCGAGUGUGGUAGGGGAGACUGGAAUUCCUGGUGUAGCGGUGGAAUGCGCAGAUAUCAGGAGGAACACCGAUGGCGAAGGCAGGUCUCUGGGCCACUACUGACGCUGAGAAGCGAAAGCAUGGGGAGCGAACAGG
rnacentral:rRNA from 1 species